rnacentral:rRNA from 1 species
AUUGAACGCUGGCGGCAGGCCUAACACAUGCAAGUCGAACGAGUGGCGGACGGGUGAGUAAUGUCUGGGAAACUUCCUGAUGGAGGGGGAUAACUACUGGAAACGGUAGCUAAUACCGCAUACCAUCAGAUGUGCCCAGAUGGGAUUAGCUUGUUGGUGGGGUACCGGCUCACCAAGGCGACGAUCCCUAGCUGGGCUGUGAGGACGACCAGCCACACGGGAACUGAGGCACGGGUCAGAAUCCUACGGGAGGCAGCAGUGGGGAAUAUUGCACAAUGGGCGCAAGCCUGAUGCAGCCAUGCCGCGUGGAUGAAGAAGGCCUUCGGGUUGUAAAGUACUUUCAGCGGGGAGGCGUUACCCUCAGAAGAAGCACCGGCUAACUCCGUGCCAGCAGGCGCGGUAAUUC